CUGAAAGACCCGGCAGCGGGCAUCCUCCUCAGGCUGGAUGAACGGAUGUUGCAUCCGCCACUGCAGAGGGUGAGCAAGGAGCUUGAGCCAGCUUCAGCUGUUACCGUAAGUCUCAGAGGAGCGGCGCAUAGUGAAAAGGUUGGCUAAGAACCCGAAGGCCCGGAGGGCGCCGCGACGUGGAGCUCCUGAACUGCUGUCUUGGUGCGCCCCCCACUGCCGACCGCCAGAGGAGGAAGUCGCGACUCGUUUCAGCAUCUCCGCUGGCUCCGAUCCCGGGACUCUGCGGGGGGCGGCAGCCCAAAUCCCAUCCCUGAAGCCCACCUUCGCUCGCUUGUCUACCGAGAUCCCAGACCUACGCAUGGCAGAGCAACGAGGUGGAAGAAGCCUGGAUCUCUGACAUCAUGGAGCACCACACCAGGAGAAUGGGAAAUGAAGGAAUUCUGUUUUCCAAAUUAAAAAGAGAGAUGAUAACUAAGUGAGAUAUUAUAGAGGAAUUGUGAAGAUGGCAAAUGAGAAGUUUCUCUGGAGACAGAAUGAAAAUGAACAAGCCAUUCUCAGGAGACCAACUGAGAAAAACAGCCAAUCCUUCUAUUUCUAUUUCUG
ensembl:lncRNA